rnacentral:rRNA from 1 species
AUUGAACGCCGGCGGCAUGCCUUACACAUGCAAGUCGAACGGCAGCACGGGAGCAAUCCUGGUGGCGAGUGGCGAACGGGUGAGUAAAGCAUCGGAACGUGCCCAGUCGUGGGGGAUAACGUAGCGAAAGCUGCGCUAAUACCGCAUACGAUCUGUGGAUGAAAGCGGGGGACCGUAAGGCCUCGCGCGAUUGGAGCGGCCGAUGUCAGAUUAGGUAGUUGGUGAGGUAAAGGCUCACCAAGCCGACGAUCUGUAGCUGGUCUGAGAGGCCGACCAGCCACACUGGGACUGAGACACGGCCCAGACUCCUACGGGAGGCAGCAGUGGGGAAUUUUGGACAAUGGGCGCAAGCCUGAUCCAGCAAUGCCGCGUGCAGGAUGAAGGCCUUCGGGUUGUAAACUGCUUUUGUACGGAGCGAAAAGGCUUCCACUAAUACUGGGGGCUCAUGACGGUACCGUAAGAAUAAGCACCGGCUAACUACGUGCCAGCCGCCGCUGUAA